UACGUAGGGUGCAAGCGUUGUCCGGAAUUAUUGGGCGUAAAGAGCUCGUAGGCGGUCUGUCGCGCGGCUGUGAAAACUCGGGGCUCAACCCCGAGCCUGCAGUCGAUACGGGCAGACUAGAGUCCGGCAGGGGAGACUGGAAUUCCUGGUGUAGCGGUGAAAUGCGCAGAUAUCAGGAGGAACACCCAGUGGCGAAGGCGGGUCUC
rnacentral:rRNA from 1 species